rnacentral:rRNA from 1 species
AAGUCGUAACAAGGUUUCCGUAGGUGAACCUGCGGAAGGAUCAUUAACAGUGAGCCCCGGUCUUUACCGGGGACUACACCUCUUACCACAAAUGAGCACUCGGGCUUUCAGUCAGUGGGUUCAUUUGUAGUGUAAUGCGUCCACCCAUUGUGAAACUUAACCUAUGCUUCGGCAGCACUCUUAGCGGCCUUAAAAACCGCUAGAGGGGUAAGGCUGUCAGAAGCCCACUAUCAAACUAGUUGAUGAAAUGUCAUGCAGUCUGAUAACUACUAUUUGAGAAAUCAAAUUACGUUAAAACUUUCAGCAACGGAUCUCUUGGUUCUCGCAUCGAUGAAGAACGCAGCGAAACGCGAUAGGUAAUGUGAAUUGCAGAAUUCCGUGAAUCAUCGAAUCUUUGAACGCACAUUGCGCCUGCUGGUAUUCCGGUAGGCAUGCCUGUUUGAGCGUCAGCAAAACUCCUCAGCAAUUUAUUUUUUGCUGGUUAUGGGUACGGAGUAGACUAUACAGUCGCUUUUGCCUUAAACUUGCUGCACGACCGCAAGCUUAUGCUAGGUUAAUGGAGUGGUGUUUACAAUAUUCCAGCUGCCUUUUAGUAUAGCUAGUGGCGUUAAACCUGAUGUCGUCUAACCGCGACUGAAGUUUGACCUCAAAUCAGACAAGGAUACCCGCUGAACUUAA